CCCCUAACCAGUGCUCUGCCAUCUCUCUUUUCAGUCUGCAACCAUCCCUCUGUUCAUGAAAAACAAAGACGUUGCUGCAGAAGCGGUCACAGGGAGUGGCAAAACACUCGCUUUCAUCAUCCCCAUCCUGGAAAUUCUCCUGAGAAGGGAAGAGAAGUUAAAAAAGAGUCAGGUUGGCGCCAUAAUCAUCACACCCACGCGAGAGCUGGCUGUUCAGAUAGAUGAGGUCCUGUCGCAUUUCACGAAGCCCUUCCCACAGUUCAGCCAGAUUCUCUGGAUCGGAGGCAGGAAUCCCGGAGAGGAUGUUGCGAGGUUUAAGGAACACGGUGGGAACAUCAUUGUGGCAACCCCAGGCCGCCUGGAGGACAUGUUCCGAAGGAAGGCAGAGGGCCUGGAUCUGGCCAGCUGCGUGAGGUCCCUGGAGGUCCUGGUGUUGGAUGAAGCGGACAGGCUUCUGGAUUUGGGGUUCGAGGCGAGCAUAAACACCAUCUUGGAGUUUUUGCCGAAGCAGAGGAGAACGGGUCUCUUCUCGGCCACUCAGACACAAGAAGUGGAGAACCUGGUGAGAGCAGGCCUCCGGAACCCUGUGCGCAUCUCGGUGAAGGAGAAGGGCGCAGCGGCCAGCAGCACGCAGAAGACCCCCUCCCGCCUGGAGAACUACUACAUGGUAUGUAAGGCAGAUGAGAAAUUUAAUCAGCUGGUACAUUUUCUUCGAAAUCACAAGCAGGAAAAACACCUGGUCUUCUUCAGCACUUGCGCCUGCGUGGAGUACUAUGGAAAGGCUAUGGAGGCCCUGGUGAAGGGCGUGAAGGUAAUGUGCAUUCACGGAAAGAUGAAAUAUAAGCGCAAUAAGAUCUUCACGGAGUUCCGCAAAUUGCAAAGCGGGAUUUUAGUGUGCACUGACGUGAUGGCCCGAGGAAUAGAUAUUCCUGAAGUAAACUGGGUUUUGCAGUACGACCCUCCCAGCAAUGCCAGCGCCUUCGUGCAUCGCUGUGGCCGCACAGCCCGCAUUGGCCACGGCGGCAGCGCGCUUGUGUUUCUCCUUCCCAUGGAAGACUCGUACGUCAAUUUCCUUGCAAUUAACCAGAAAUGCCCCCUGCAGGAGAUGAAAGUCCAGAAGAACACAGUAGAUCUCCUUCCAAAGCUCAGGUCCAUGGCCCUGGCCGACAGAGCUGUGUUUGAAAAGGGCAUGAAAGCUUUUGUGUCGUACGUCCAGGCUUAUGCAAAGCAUGAGUGUAACCUCAUCUUCAGAUUAAAGGAUCUCGAUUUUGCAAGUCUUGCUCGAGGUUUUGCCCUGCUGAGGAUGCCCAAGAUGCCAGAGCUGAGAGGAAAGCAGUUUCCAGAUUUUGUGCCUGUAGACGUCAGUACCGACACCAUUCCAUUUAAAGAUAAAAUCAGAGAAAAGCAGAGGCAGAAGCUAUUGGAGCAGCAAAGAAAAGAGAAAACAGAAAAUGAAGGGAGAAGAAAAUUCAUAAAAAAUAAAGCUUGGUCAAAGCAGAAGGCCAAAAAGGAAAAGAAGAAAAAACUGAAUGAAAAAAGGAAAAGGGAAGAGGGUUCUGAUAUCGAAGAUGAGGACAUGGAAGAACUUCUUAAUGACACAAGGCUCUUGAAAAAGUUUAAAAAAGGCAAAAUUACUGAAGAAGAAUUCGAGAAGGGGCUGUUGACAAGUGGCAAAAGAUCAGUCAAGACAGCAGAUUUGGGGAUCUCAGGUUUGGAAGAUGACUGCUGAUUCCUGCCGCUCAGCUGAAAUGCGCGAGAGCAACGGGAGUGCCAGGAGCUGCCCUGCGCCCGCGGAUAGCUCGCGCUUGCGUCUACUGAACAGCGGAACUUCAGCAGACGUCCGGGAAGAGCCACCUCUCCCAAAGCUGUUGCUGCAGAUGGGGGAGAUGAGAGGGGUUUCACGCUCAUGAGUAUUUUAUGAAAAACAUACCAGCCUUUGAAGUCUAACAGAAGAAAAUGUAAAUUAACUGAGUGUAAAUGACAGAUGUCAAUAUUUAUUUUGAUGGGCUACUCAAAGAGCUCGUUUUUAAAAAAUUUUUCUAUUUUCAUUUAUUUAUUUUUCUUUUUUUGCGGUACGCGGGCCUCUCACUGUUGUGGCCCCUCCCGCUGCGGAGCACAGGCUCCGGACGCGCAGGCUCAGCGGCCAUGGCUCACGGGCCCAGCCGCUCCGCGGCACAUGGGAUCUUCCCGGACCGGGGCACGAACCCGCGUCCCCUGCGUCGGCAGGUGGACGCUCAACCACUGCGCCACCAGGGAAGCCCAAGAGCUCAUUUUUUGGUGGCUAUUUUAUACUUAUUUUUUAACAUAAAGAUACUGAUGUAGACUUGAUUUUAGGCCUUUUAAAAUUCCUCAGUGUUUUCAGGCACCUGAUCUCCCUGGAUGUCCUUCUCCCUGGACUUCAGUUCUCUCUCUGAUGUACUGCGCAGAACACCUGCACAGCCCCUAGUACUGUUUUAUUGGGAUUAUUACUCCUGUCCAAGGGAUUAUUACUCCUGUUUUCUCUUGGGAGGCACGCUGCCAGUCCAUGGAGCAUGUCACCUCGGCUUUAGGAGUGAAGUUGCACAGGUGAGACGAAGAAUCCCGAGUGCCACCGAGGGCAGCCCGUGUCUUCAGAUGAAGAGGGAGCACUGAUCACAUGUGCUGACCUGACCUCUGCACCUUGCUCUUAAAAUGCACUACGAUACCACCACGUAAAUGACUCCCACUCUCCCUGACAUCCUAUAGCCCUGUCUGUACACUAUCAAGACCUUAUAAUGAGUUUGCUGGUUUAGCCCAGCUAUAUCAGUUAAGAGGCGGGACGCUGCCCAGUCCAGUUUUAUGCAUGAGACGCAAACCUUCCAUCUGGAAGAGCUGCUCCAAGCCACCCCUGGGAGUGGGUGAGGAAAAGUAAUCGUGGCGGGGGAGGCCA